UACGAAGGGGGCUAGCGUUGCUCGGAAUCACUGGGCGUAAAGCGCACGUAGGCGGCUUUUUAAGUCAGGGGUGAAAUCCUGGAGCUCAACUCCAGAACUGCCUUUGAUACUGAGAAGCUUGAGUCCGGGAGAGGUGAGUGGAACUGCGAGUGUAGAGGUGAAAUUCGUAGAUAUUGGGAGGAACACCAGUGGCGAAGGCGGCUCACUGGACCGGUUCUGACGCUGAGGCGCGAAAGCGUGGGGAGCAAACGGG
rnacentral:rRNA from 1 species